rnacentral:rRNA from 1 species
GAGUGAGAAUGCAGACAUGAGUAGCGAGAGACGGGUGAGGAUCCCGUCCGCUGGAUGACCAAGGGUUCCGGGGCCACGUUCGUCGUCCCCGGGUGAGUCGGGUCCUAAGGCGAGGCCGACAGGCGUAGUCGAAUGGAUGAACGGGUGGAUAUUCCCGUACCGGCGGCGUACCGUAAGAGCCGAACGGAUGAGUACUAACCUCCGGUCGCGUGGCGUCGUUCCCUUCGGGGUUCGGGGUCCGCGGUCGUUGGGAGCGUAGUCCUGGUAGGCUAGCGCACAGGGGUGACACGGAAUGGGAGCCGGCCGCGGAGGUGGUUUUCCGUGGUCAAGCACGCAGCCCGUCCCAUAGGCAAAUCCGUGGGACGCAUAGGGUGAGGUGUGAUGAUGGGCGUCUUUUAUGGCGCGAUAUCCGGUGGUCCAGGCCGUCGAGAAAAGCCUCGGCGCGAGGGGCGUCGCCGCCCGUACCCCAAACCGACACUGGUGGUCAGGUAGAGAAUACCAAGGCGAUCGAGCGAAUCCUGGUCAAGGAACUCGGCAAAUCACUCCCGUGCCUUCGGUAUAAGGGAGACCCCCGGGCGUGAAGAGGCUUGCCCUCGGAGCGUUGGGGGGUGGCACAGACCAGGGGGUAGCGACUGUUUACCAAAAACACAGGUGCAUGCGAAGGCGCAAGCCGCUGUAUAUGCACUGACGCCUGCCCGGUGCCGGAAGGUUAAGAGGAUCCGUCAGUCCCUUUUGGGGUGAAGCGGUGAAUUCAAGCCCCGGUAAACGGCGGUGGUAACUAUAACCAUCCUAAGGUAGCGAAAUUCCUUGUCGGGUAAGUUCCGACCUGCACGAAUGGCGUAACGACUUCCCCACUGUCUCGACCAGGAGCUCGGCGAAAUUGCAGUACGAGUAAAGAUGCUCGUUAAGCGCAGAAGGACGAAAAGACCCCGGGACCUUUACUAUACCUUGGUAUUGGCGUUAGGCGCGGAUUGUGUAGCAUAGGCGGGAGGCUUCGAAGCAUGGGCGCCAGCCCGUGUGGAGCCGCAAGGUGAAAUACCGCUCUGUUCUCGUUUGACGUCUAACCUCGAACAGUCAUCCUGUUCAGGGACAGUGCCUGGCGGGUAGUUUAACUGGGGCGGUUGCCUCCCAAAGAGUAACGGAGGCGCUCAAAGGUCCGCUCAGCCCGGUUGGCAAUCGGGUUUCGAGUGUAAUCGCACAAGCGGGCUUGACUGCGAGACUGACGGGUCGAGCAGGCACGAAAGUCGGAACUAGUGAUCCGGUGCCGGUGUACGGACGCGGCAUCGCUCAACGGAUAAAAGGUACCCCGGGGAUAACAGGCUGAUCAUUCCCAAGAGUCCAUAUCGACGGGAUGGUUUGGCACCUCGAUGUCGGCUCGUCGCAUCCUGGGGCUGGAGCAGGUCCCAAGGGUUCGGCUGUUCGCCGAUUAAAGCGGUACGCGAGCUGGGUUCAGAACGUCGUGAGACAGUUUGGUCUCUAUCCUCUGCGCUCGUUGGAAUCCUGAGGAGGCCUGCCCAUAGUACGAGAGGACCUGGGUGGACGGACCUCUGGUAUGCCGGUUGUCGCGCCAGCGGCAUGGCCGGUUGGCUACGUUCGGGAGGGAUAACCGCUGAAAGCAUCUAAGCGGGAAGCCUGCUCCAAGAUUAGGAUUCCUUGGCACUUCGGUGCCUGUAGCCCGCAUGUUGAACACGUGUUCGAUAGGCCGGAGGUGGAAGCCCCGCGAGGGGUGGAGCCGACCGGUACUAACGGGCGAACGCGGCACAC